UUUGACAGGGUUCCCAGGCGUCCGCGUAGAGUCACCUUCACAAUGUGGACAGUUGAAUUGAAUUGAAAGGGUCGUGUACAAAUUACGCGUUCGGACUGAGCGGAAAGGUUUUUAAAAAACACAGAAUUUAUAAUACACUAUUAACUUUAUUUGAAGUGAAAAAUUUAAUUACACUUAACUUAUUCAAAUGUAGUUAACAGACUGGUCCCGGGAGGCUACGUUGUACCUAUUGUUUGCAAGAAUUUCCGAUCGAAAUUCUUUCCCAUUCCCAUUCGUUACCUCAUUGACCAGCUGUAACCUCCAAUAUUGACAAGGUCGUAUCGUUAUUGCGAUAAACAGCAGCUGCAUAAAGAGGUAUGCUGCACAAUACUUCCGCUGAAGUAGCGUGUUCCGUAUUCCGAAACACACGAUCGACGACCUUGCGUGUAUUUACUUCCAUGUGAUGUUUACCUACCAGCAGAUAUAAGAGUUUAUGCUGUUUAAUGAACGUGCCGUCGCAGCUUAAACGUAGAACGAGACGGACGAGCGAGCACCACAGCACGAGUCGGACGAGCGAGUACCGCCGAAAGAAUUGCAGCGGCAUCCAGGGAGAUCCGCAAUUUCAGGGUGUGAAGCUAGGCGAGAUUUUCUAACGCAAAUCAGGAGUUUCACGGGCCGGAUCCUCAUUGGUUACUUCUCCCAAACAUUUGGUCCUUCGAGUCGGAUACACGGACCUAUGGAUACACGGCGGCGUCCAGGGAGAUUCAAAAGCUUCGAAAGAGAAGCUCAGGAAAAAAAGCAGAUCCACAAUUUCAGGGCGUGAAGCUAGUUAUGUAUGCGUCAGCACACACAAAUCAUAAAAACAAAUUACACGUGCCUGUAUCUAUUCCGCCAGAUUCAGAAACCUUAGACGCAAAGAAACAAGGCACCGUCUGGAAAGAAUUUGCCGCAUUUCUGGAAAAAUGCAAGCAGCCAGACGCUUAAUCAGCAUUUAUAAAUGCAUAAAUAUAAGAAAUCAAAUAACAUCUCGCCCAGUUGCCGCGAAA
rnacentral:misc_RNA from 1 species